rnacentral:rRNA from 1 species
UUAAGCGACUAAGCGUACACGGUGGAUGCCCUGGCAGUCAGAGGCGAUGAAGGACGUGCUAAUCUGCGAUAAGCGUCGGUGAGGUGAUAUGAACCGUUAUAACCGGCGAUUUCCGAAUGGGGAAACCCAGUGUGUUUCGACACACUAUCAUUAACUGAAUCCAUAGGUUAAUGAGGCGAACCGGGGGAACUGAAACAUCUAAGUACCCCGAGGAAAAGAAAUCAACCGAGAUUCCCCCAGUAGCGGCGAGCGAACGGGGAGGAGCCCAGAGCCUGAAUCAGUGUGUGUGUUAGUGGAAGCGUCUGGAAAGGCGCGCGAUACAGGGUGACAGCCCCGUACACAAAAAUGCACAUAUUGUGAGCUCGAUGAGUAGGGCGGGACACGUGGUAUCCUGUCUGAAUAUGGGGGGACCAUCCUCCAAGGCUAAAUACUCCUGACUGACCGAUAGUGAACCAGUACCGUGAGGGAAAGGCGAAAAGAACCCCGGCGAGGGGAGUGAAAAAGAACCUGAAACCGUGUACGUACAAGCAGUGGGAGCCUCUUAAUGGGGUGACUGCGUACCUUUUGUAUAAUGGGUCAGCGACUUAUAUUCUGUAGCAAGGUUAACCGAAUAGGGGAGCCGAAGGGAAACCGAGUCUUAACUGGGCGUUAAGUUGCAGGGUAUAGACCCGAAACCCGGUGAUCUAGCCAUGGGCAGGUUGAAGGUUGGGUAACACUAACUGGAGGACCGAACCGACUAAUGUUGAAAAAUUAGCGGAUGACUUGUGGCUGGGGGUGAAAGGCCAAUCAAACCGGGAGAUAGCUGGUUCUCCCCGAAAGCUAUUUAGGUAGCGCCUCGUGAAUUCAUCUCCGGGGGUAGAGCACUGUUUCGGCAAGGGGGUCAUCCCGACUUACCAACCCGAUGCAAACUGCGAAUACCGGAGAAUGUUAUCACGGGAGACACACGGCGGGUGCUAACGUCCGUCGUGAAGAGGGAAACAACCCAGACCGCCAGCUAAGGUCCCAAAGUCAUGGUUAAGUGGGAAACGAUGUGGGAAGGCCCAGACAGCCAGGAUGUUGGCUUAGAAGCAGCCAUCAUUUAAAGAAAGCGUAAUAGCUCACUGGUCGAGUCGGCCUGCGCGGAAGAUGUAACGGGGCUAAACCAUGCACCGAAGCUGCGGCAGCGACACUAUGUGUUGUUGGGUAGGGGAGCGUUCUGUAAGCCUGUGAAGGUGUACUGUGAGGUAUGCUGGAGGUAUCAGAAGUGCGAAUGCUGACAUAAGUAACGAUAAAGCGGGUGAAAAGCCCGCUCGCCGGAAGACCAAGGGUUCCUGUCCAACGUUAAUCGGGGCAGGGUGAGUCGACCCCUAAGGCGAGGCCGAAAGGCGUAGUCGAUGGGAAACAGGUUAAUAUUCCUGUACUUGGUGUUACUGCGAAGGGGGGACGGAGAAGGCUAUGUUGGCCGGGCGACGGUUGUCCCGGUUUAAGCGUGUAGGCUGGUUUUCCAGGCAAAUCCGGAAAAUCAAGGCUGAGGCGUGAUGACGAGGCACUACGGUGCUGAAGCGACAAAUGCCCUGCUUCCAGGAAAAGCCUCUAAGCAUCAGGUAACAUCAAAUCGUACCCCAAACCGACACAGGUGGUCAGGUAGAGAAUACCAAGGCGCUUGAGAGAACUCGGGUGAAGGAACUAGGCAAAAUGGUGCCGUAACUUCGGGAGAAGGCACGCUGAUAUGUAGGUGAAGCGACUUGCUCGUGGAGCUGAAAUCAGUCGAAGAUACCAGCUGGCUGCAACUGUUUAUUAAAAACACAGCACUGUGCAAACACGAAAGUGGACGUAUACGGUGUGACGCCUGCCCGGUGCCGGAAGGUUAAUUGAUGGGGUUAGCGGUAACGCGAAGCUCUUGAUCGAAGCCCCGGUAAACGGCGGCCGUAACUAUAACGGUCCUAAGGUAGCGAAAUUCCUUGUCGGGUAAGUUCCGACCUGCACGAAUGGCGUAAUGAUGGCCAGGCUGUCUCCACCCGAGACUCAGUGAAAUUGAACUCGCUGUGAAGAUGCAGUGUACCCGCGGCAAGACGGAAAGACCCCGUGAACCUUUACUAUAGCUUGACACUGAACAUUGAGCCUUGAUGUGUAGGAUAGGUGGGAGGCUUUGAAGUGUGGACGCCAGUCUGCAUGGAGCCGACCUUGAAAUACCACCCUUUAAUGUUUGAUGUUCUAACGUGGGCCCCUUACCGGGGUUGCGGACAGUGUCUGGUGGGUAGUUUGACUGGGGCGGUCUCCUCCUAAAGAGUAACGGAGGAGCACGAAGGUUGGCUAAUCCUGGUCGGACAUCAGGAG